rnacentral:lncRNA from 1 species
UUGUGUUUUGAAGUGUGAAAUGCAAAGUAAUUGUGAUAGUUAAAUGCAAGAUAAAGUUCACUUUUAAACUGAACUAAAUAAGGUAUCUGAGAGACAACAAUGGUUAAAAAAUGCAAUACAAUGUACAGGUUUUACUAGCGAAAUGAAAAUUUUCCUGUCCUGUCUGCUGUAAUCAUUUUAUAUCUGGAAAACCAGCCGACUUAAUCGAUAAUAACAAUCUCCAGAUUGGGUUCCUUCAAUAAAUAUGGACUAUAAACACAAUGAAAUAAGUUCCCCAAAAUCUAAAAUGGAGUGCUAUCAAAGGAGAAUUAAAGGAAAAAA